UACGAAGGGGGCUAGCGUUGCUCGGAAUCACUGGGCGUAAAGCGCACGUAGGCGGCUUUUUAAGUCAGGGGUGAAAUCCUGGAGCUCAACUCCAGAACUGCCUUUGAUACUGAGAAGCUUGAGUCCGGGAGAGGUGAGUGGAACUGCGAGUGUAGAGGUGAAAUUCGUAGAUAUUCGCAAGAACACCGAUGGCGAAGGCAGUGUUCUGGGCCAGUACUGACGCUGAGGAGCGAAAGCGUGGGGAGCAAACAGG
rnacentral:rRNA from 1 species